rnacentral:rRNA from 1 species
UGGGAAUAUCGGACAAUGGGCGGAAGCCUGAUCCAGCAACGCCGCGUGAGGGAUGACGGCCUUCGGGUUGUAAACCUCUUUCAGCACAGACGAAGCGCAAGUGACGGUAUGUGCAGAAGAAGGACCGGCCAACUACGUGCCAGCAGCCGCGGUAAUACGUAGGGUCCGAGCGUUGUCCGGAAUUAUUGGGCGUAAAGGGCUCGUAGGCGGUUUGUCGCGUCGGGAGUGAAAACACCGGGCUUAACUCGGUGUUUGCUUUCGAUACGGGCAGACUAGAGGCAUUCAGGGGAGAACGGAAUUCCUGGUGUAGCGGUGAAAUGCGCAGAUAUCAGGAGGAACACCGGUGGCGAAGGCGGUUCUCUGGGAAUGUCCUGACGCUGAGGAGCG